CGGGUGAGUAAUGUAUGGGGAUCUGCCCGAUAGAGGGGGAUAACUACUGGAAACGGUGGCUAAUACCGCAUAAUGUCUACGGACCAAAGCAGGGGCUCUUCGGACCUUGCACUAUCGGAUGAACCCAUAUGGGAUUAGCUAGUAGGUGGGGUAAAGGCUCACCUAGGCGACGAUCUCUAGCUGGUCUGAGAGGAUGAUCAGCCACACUGGGACUGAGACACGGCCCAG
rnacentral:rRNA from 1 species